UGCCCAGUUGCUUGUGACGAAAAUUUAUAUGGCUGGCCGUCUUUAAUAGUAUCUUGUCAGUGCUACUGAUCAACAUUUAUUUCUCCGUUUUUGGCUUUCAUUAUAUUUGUAAAUUUUUUCUAAUGAGAUAAAUGUAUUCUCGUAUAAGGUGCAUCUAGCGAGUGAGUGCUUUUACAUAAUUUUGGCACAACUUCACGUGUAUUUCGCAACAUUGAGAUCAGCACAAAUUAUCAUAUCGGAGCGAAAUUCAUGACCUCCGGCGUGUGUUGCAUUAAAGUAAUAAGAGUAUUAUACAAUAAACUUUUUAAUAGAAUCAAUAUGUUGAGAGAUUUAUUAGUGACAAGUGAUUGGAGCAUUCAUUCUAUGCCAUGCAGAAACCAGCAAAAACAUUAACUUAUAAGGGAACUUAUACUGCAAUAACAAUGAAUUUAACUAUAAGAAAAAUUGUUGGAAAUUCCAAAUCAAAAAAGAACUCAGAGUUCUCAUCUUCCUACAACAAAAGAGAGAGCUUAUAUUCAUGAAUUGGUUAAAAAGCUUAAUCUGAAAUAAAAGAGCCAAAGAAAGGAUAUGAAUCGAUUCUUGGUGGUAUAUAAGACAGAAGAAUCAACAAUAAUUCAAGCUGAUGCUGUGAUAAAAUUAUGAAAACUAUUUAAGUAAAGCAUACAUAAUUUUUUAUUAUAAAUCACAAAGACAUCCUUUUGUUUUCUCUAAUAAAGAAAAAACAUUCUGUAAAUAAUGUUGCUUUAUGAAAAAACUAA